rnacentral:rRNA from 1 species
UACGUAGGCAGCAAGCGUUGUUCGGAUUCAUUGGGCGUAAAGGGUGUGUAGGUGGCGCCGUAAGUCGGGUGUGAAAUUUCGGAGCUUAACUCCGAAACUGCAUUCGAUACUGCGGUGCUUGAGGACUGGAGAGGAGACUGGAAUUCAUGGUGUAGCAGUGAAAUGCGUAGAGAUCAUGAGGAAGACCAGUGGCGAAGGCGGGUCUCUGGACAGUUCCUGACACUGAGACACGAAGGCCAGGGGAGCAAACGGG